CUCGACGUUGUUUCAACGUUGAAACAACGUUGAAAUAUGGUCGUGACGUUGUUCAACCAAUAUUCAACUAUGGACGACCAUACGGAUAUAUUGCCAAUGUUUAUACAACGUUGAUUCAACGUUGUUUAUGGUCGAAGUUUUACAUUUAGUUUAAUCAUUAUAAAAACUUUUAUACCGCUAAUUUUGUGUAAUUAUUCCUUUAUUGAAUUAGUCUGUAAGUGAUUUUUGUCAGGAAAAUUUGCGUAACAAUCUUUUCCCGUAUAUUCAAAAGUAGCGCUUAAACAAAUAAAGUUUGAAAUAAUUUUUCACUUUCUAUUAACGCUUUAAAUAUUAGUUAAUAUGUUUUGUUGUUUGUUGUUUUAUUUUUUAGUUCUUUAUGAAUAAUAUUAAUUAAUAAAUUGAUAUUAGUCAAAACCCCGCUUAUAAAAUAACGCUGGUCAGGGGAAGUAAUUGUUGAGUUUGUUGUCUAUGAUUAUCGUUCGUGUAAAUGGUGGCGUUGUUUGGAAAAUUUGAAAACAACACGAUUGGCAAUUUAUUUGGAUUUGAAGAUCCUGGUCCUGGCUGAAAUUUAGAGUAUUGCAGCUGUAGCCUGUAUACCAUACAUUAACAUGAAAAGGACUGUCAGGAUGCUGCAUAAAAUGGUCUUAGCUAGAGCCUAGAAUGUUAACUUCUUGGGAAUAUGCUACAAGGAACUGACGGGGAGCAGUUUUUCUUACCAAUCAUAGAGGCAGUAAGAAACAGCCAAAGAAGUACUCAAACACUUGAUAUACCCAGAAAGAUCUAGAAGAAAAGAUUGGAACAGAUUGUAGCUUAAUUGUUAAAACUAUUAAAGUGAAUUUAAACUGCACUUGAACUGUAUUUUUGAAAUAAAAUAUCUGAAGUA